rnacentral:rRNA from 1 species
CCUACGGGGGGCAGCAGUGGGGAAUAUUGGACAAUGGGGGCAACCCUGAUCCAGCCAUGCCGCGUGUGUGAAGAAGGCCCUCGGGUUGUAAAGCACUUUCAGUGAGGAAGAACGCCUGGUGGUUAAUACCCAUCAGGAAAGACAUCACUCACAGAAGAAGCACCGGCUAACUCCGUGCCAGCAGCCGCGGUAAUACGGAGGGUGCGAGCGUUAAUCGGAAUUACUGGGCGUAAAGCGCGCGUAGGUGGCUUGAUAAGCCGGUUGUGAAAGCCCGGGGCUCAACCUGGGAACGGCAUCCGGAACUGUCAAGCUAGAGUGCAGGAGAGGAAGGUAGAAUUCCCGGUGUAGCGGUGAAAUGCGUAGAGAUCGGGAGGAAUACCAGUGGCGAAGGCGGCCUUCUGGACUGACACUGACACUGAGGUGCGAAAGCGUGGGUAGCAAACAGGAUUAGAUACCCCAGUAGUC